GACGAACGCUGGCGGCGUGCUUAACACAUGCAAGUCGAACGGAAAGGCCCUGCUUUUUUUGGGUUCUCGUUUUGCGAACUGGUUAGUAACACUUGUGUAACCUGCCCUUUUCUUUUGUAUAACUUCUGGUAACUUGUGCUAAUACCCGAUAUUAUCUCCUUCUUCAUGGUGGGGGUUGGUUAGUUUCGGGGGUUGGGGAUGGUCUCGCCGCCUAUCAGCUUGUUGGUGGGGUAGUGGCUUACCAAGGCUUUGACGGGUAGCAGGCAUGAGAGGGUGACCGGCGAAAUUGGGACUGAGAGACGGACCAGAAUGCUACGGGAGGCAGCAGUGGGGAAUAUUGCACAAUGGGAGGAAGCCUGAUGCAGAAACGCCGCGUGCGGGAUGAAGGCCUUCGGGUUGUAAACCGAUGUAGAAUGUGACGAAGAGUGAGUGACGGUAAUGGGUAAAGAAGCACCGGCUAACUACGUG
rnacentral:rRNA from 1 species